rnacentral:rRNA from 1 species
AUGGAUCACCAAGUUAGCACACGAAAUGACCUGGAGCGUAUGCUAUUAGAUGAAACCAAAGGCCCCGAGGCUCUUCCAUUAUCACUUCUUGAAGACAUCACACAUAGUUUCUCUGAUGACCAUGAAAUUGGACGCGGCGGAUUUGCAGUGGUUUAUAAGGGAAUCCUUGAAAAUGGGAUGGUUGCUGUGAAGAAGUUGACCAAUGUGUAUUUGUAUGAGAAUAAAUUUCAACAAGAGAUUCAAUGUCUGAUGAAGGUGAAGCAUACAAAUGUAGUACGAUUUUUGGGAUAUUGUUCUGAUACCCAAGGAGAAAUAGCAAGCUAUCAAGGAAAAUUUAUCAUUGCGGAUAUACGAGAAAGAUUGCUCUGCUUUGAGUAUGUGCCAAGAGGGAAUCUUUGUGACUAUAUCUCAGAUGCAUCUUGCGGACUUGAGUGGAGGGAACGUUACAAAAUAAUCAAGGGAAUCUGUGAGGGGUUGCAUUACCUUCACAUAAACCAUGUUCUUCAUUUGGAUCUAAAGCCUGGAAAUAUACUCAUGGAUGAUAAAAUGUUGCCGGAAAUUGGUGACUUUGGUCUGUCACGUUGCUUUGAUGAAGGGCAAACCCGUGUUAUUACUACAAAAGUUGCUGGAACCUUUGGAUAUAUGGCACCUGAAUUCAAUGAUCGUGUAAUCACACUGAAAUAUGACAUUUAUAGUCUUGGUGUUAUAAUCACGGAGAUAUUGACUGGAGCAAAGGGGUAUCAUGAUGUUGAGACCGUACUUCGAAAUUGGAGUAGAAGGCUUGAGAAAUCAAAGAGAGAACAAGUACGUGUAUGUACCGAGAUAGCAUUAGAGUGCACGGAGUACAAUCCAGCGAAGAGGCCAUCUAGUACACAGAGUAUAAUUGAUAGGCUUGAUGAAACAGAAACAACAGACACGCAGGACCUCCUUGAUGUCUACCUUGUCGAGCUUUGCUUUCCCGUUGAUCCCAAUACAGAUGAACACAUCGUAUUUAGGCUUAUGAAUAAGAGCGCAAAGUCUUGGCGGUGCUUCGCAAGUAGUCCACUCCACGGCAUUGUGCCUUCUAGGUCCACUUACACUCUUGUUGUCACAGCGGAACAGCAAGAGAGGCUACCUGAAGAAGCACACUAUGAUUUGAUACUGCAGAGUAGUGUACGGGGAAAUAAAAACAUCCGUGCUUUUGAAAACCAAUCUGAGUAUGACCAAUUCUUUGAGGAAGCUAAUAAGUCGGGGAGCACUGUACAUGAGGUGGCACUGAAAACUAUUUUUGCUUUGCAAGGAAAGACAACGUCUGAGACAAUCUCACAAAGAAUAAAGGAUCAACGAAUCAUAUGCGUGAAGAAUACUCACGGCAUGACGUGCUCCCUUGAUGCACAGCCCACGGAGCGAUGUAUUAUCACGGGCCAUCAGCACGGAGAUGUUUGCUUGUGGAACUAUGACACGCAGGCAAGGAUCAAUUCGUUUAAAGUCUGGAAAGAAUCUGUCAUGCCUUCUUACUCACCAAAAAAAGUUCAUUCUGUUAAAGUUAUCUCAAGGAAGAAAUGGUUUGUGGCUGGGACAUCUGAUGGUGUAAUCCAUGUGUACAGUUACGACAAGAAGAUACAAAAACUCAGAAGUUUUAGAGCUGACAGUGAUUGCUUCAUCACAUCAAUGGCCGUUCAUCUAACCCAUCCAUAUGUACUGUCAUCGGCUUAUCGUUGUAUAAAGCUUUGGGACUGGAACAAGGGCUGGAAGUGCACACAAUCAUUCGAACAAGAACACUCUGAUACCAUAGGACAAGUCGCAUUUAACCCAAUGGACACCAACAUUUUUGCAAGUGUUUCGGAUGAUUGCACAGUAAAGGUUUGGAGCAUUGGUUCUCGCGGAUCUAAAUAUACUUUGUAUGGGCAUGGGAACAAAGUGAACUGCCUUGAUUUCUUCACAUGUAAUGGUGGACAGUAUUUAAUAAGUGGUUCUGAUGAUCACACUGCUAAGAUAUGGGACAUGGAGAAAAAGGCUUGUGUUCAUACAAUGGAAGCUUUUAGGUCUCCGGUAACUUCUGUCAUUGCCCUCUCCGAUGGCCCAUAUCUAAUUACAGGUUCAAAAGAUGGCUCUGUUCAUUUCUGGAGCUCCGGUGAUUUCAGUGAUUUGUGCGUGGUUCCUAGGCUAGAGAGAAUCGUUAACUUUGCCUCUGGUGGAGCUAUUUGGGGUCUCGGACGUUUCAUGGGGUCAAGAAGGAUUGUGAUCGGACAAGAGUACACAGUGUCAAUCAUGGCCAUCGACAAUGAAGAAGAAACAUUUGCUAUCGAGGACGACAACGAAAAAUCCAUAUGA